ACAUAUGAAUAAAACUGGGAAGCCAGUUUGAGUCCCAGCCUUGGCCAGCUGAGUCUGUCUGUCAGCCUAGCUCCCAAAAGUGACUACAGGCAUGGGCAUCCAGGAACAAUGCUGGGAGAAUUAGUAUUAUGGCCUUUACCGGGGGCAGGAAUGCCCACGCGUCGCUGAUGACGAUUGCCCGUAGGAACUACAUUACCCAGAAGAACUUGCGCUGGCCGGCGUGGGGCGGGACUUCCGGAAUCUUCCUUUCAGACAUCUUGUAGGCCUUGGGGCAGAACCAUCAGAGCAGCGGCCCAGACUUUUGGGUUACUCAGAACUUGUCAGACACGGGAAAGGGCGAGAGGACACAGUGUCCCCGUUAAAAAGAGGCUGGCGGUGGCGGCGCCGAGGAAAACCCCUCCUCUGUCGAGGCCGCGGAAUGGGCCUAGCGCGGGCGGGGGCAGCCUUCUCGGACCUUGGCCCCUCGCAGUCCUCUUUCAUGAACUGCUGAACCCUAGUGAGCGUGGCCCAGGUCUGGCGUCCGAGUCAGGCUCGCGGGCGGGAGGUCGGCGCUCUAGACACCUGCGCGCAAGGGCAGGCUCCGCAGGAGCCCAGGCGCACGACCGAACGACCGCGAAUCGCGAGCGCCAGCCUCCGCCGAGCAGGGUGCAUAUCCGGGGUGCCUGGACCCUAGGAUCCUUUGUGGUUGCUGAACUGUUGUAAGGGGGAGAAGCCUGGGUGCCUGACUGAGAGGGCAUGACUCUAAGCACAGCAGGAGGGGGUUGGACAGACCCUGGUGAGUGAGAGUGGAGGAGUGUGUUCAGAUAGUAUCAGACCUUGUGUUCAGUACUGUUUGAUGCCAAGGCUGGAAGCCAUACUUUAUUUCUAUCUUUUCUUCCCUACUCUGCACACUUUAAUUACCUCUGUUCUUAUUUCAAACACAAGGCUUCCCUCUCUAACCCUUUACUUGAAGGGUUUUCUGAUGCUCCCUUUGUAGUAUUUUCCAGUAUUGGACUACCCUAACAUUACCAGUUGUGCAUAUAUAGUUCUUGAACAUCAGUCAUUUUCUUUUCUUUUCUUUUCUUUUUUUUUUUUUGGUACUGGGGUUUGAACUCAGGACCCUGUGCUUGCGAGGCAGGUGGUAGCAGCACCACUGAGCUAAAUCCCUGUCCCUAUCAGUCAUUUUCAAGUAGAUAUUUCUGGGCCUGGAUGUGAAUUUUUUUUCCCCCCAUUAACUUUAUUGGUACAUUUUAGGCAUAAAAUACAGUUGCAUUCAUCAUCGGGAUCUUGUACCAUUGCAUGAGUAUCUUGGUUCUUAUUUUCUUUCCCCUUCCCUUCCCCUCCCUUCACCCCCUCCACCCUU
rnacentral:lncRNA from 1 species